UAUGUAGGGGGCAAGCGUUAUCCGGAUUUACUGGGUGUAAAGGGAGCGUAGACGGCAUGCAAGUCAGAUGUGAAAGCCCGGGGCUCAACUCCGGGACUGCAUUUGAAACUGUCAGGCUGGAGUGCAGGAGAGGUAAGUGGAAUUCCUAGUGUAGCGGUGAAAUGCGUAGAUAUUAGGAGGAACACCAGUGGCGAAGGCGGCUUACUGGACUGUAACUGACGUUGAGGCUCGAAAGCGUGGGGAGCAAACAGG
rnacentral:rRNA from 1 species